CCUACGGGUGGCAGCAGUGAGGAAUAUUGGUCAAUGGGCGAGAGCCUGAACCAGCCAAGUCGCGUGAAGGAUGACGGCCCUACGGGUUGUAAACUUCUUUUGUCAGGGCGCAAUUGGGUCCACGCGUGGGCUUAGCGUUAGUACCUGAAGAAAAAGCAUCGGCUAAAUCCGUGCCAGCAGCCGCGGUAAUCCGGAGGAGGCGAGAGGUAUCCGGAUUUAUUUGGUUUAAAGGGUGCGUAGGCGGAAUAUCAAGUCAGCGGUAAAAAUUCGGGGCGCAACCCCGUCGUGCCGUUGAUACUGGUGUUCUUGAGUGGGCGAGAAGUAUGCGGAAUGCGUGGUGUAGCGGUGAAAUGCAUAGAUAUCACGCAGAACUCCGAUUGCGAAGGCAGGAUACCGGCGCCCAACUGACGCUGAAGCACGAAAGCGUGGGUAUCGAACAGGAUUAGAUACCCUAGUAGUC
rnacentral:rRNA from 1 species